GGCAGAUGCAGCAGAUGUCAACGGAUUUAAAACUGGAGUUCAUAUGACUCCUUGCCAGCGUUGCCAGACGUCCCGAUUUUGGCGGGACGUCCCGAUUUUUAAAUCAAAUUUAAAUGUCCCGCGCGGGACAGGCUCGGUCCCGCUUUUCGGAGAGAGACACUCACUUCACCAGACUAUUGUUUGAAACGCCAUAUUAUUCUAAAGAAUAAAACUUUUUUAAUUUCGA